rnacentral:rRNA from 1 species
GACGAACGCUGGCGGCGUGCUUAACACAUGCAAGUCGAACGGAAAGGCCCUGCGUGCGUGGGGUGCUGGAGGGGCGAACGGGGGAGUAACACGUGAGUAACCUGCCCUUGACUUUGGGAUAACUUCAGGAAACUGGGGCUAAUACCGGAUAGGAGCUCCUGCUGCAUGGUGGGGGUUGGAAAGUCUCGGCGGGUGGGGAUGGAUGCGCGGCUUAUCAGCUUGUUGGUGGGGUAGGGGCAUACCAAGGCAUUGACGGGUAGCCGGCCUGGGAGGGUGGCCGGCCUCCUUGCGACUGCGAUACGGAGCAGUCUCCUACGGUGGGCAGCAGUGGGAAAUAUUGCACAAUCGGCGCGAGCCUGAGGCAGCAGCGCCGCGUGCGGGAUGACGGCCUUCGGGUUGUAAACCGCUUUCGCCUGUGACGAAGCGUGUGUGACGGUAAUGGGUGAAGAAGCACCGGCUAACUACGUG